CUGCUUGUUUUCACAAACGAGCCCCAACCUUCUGAAGUUUCAGAUUCCCUUUUCUUAGCAGUAACUGUCAAAGUGCCUUGCAGAUAAGUGUCCUUAUUAAACCCACCCCUUUCUGAACAGACAUAAAAGAACCUGAAGCAUUAUUUCUGUAUAGUCCUUCUGUUUCUGACACAUGAUGGAUCUGCAAGUCUCCGUUGUUCUUCUUUUCAUUUUUCUCACUGGAGGAUAUUCUCUCAAGUGUUACUCGUGCACAUCUGUUUUGACGGGCUCCUGUGAACUGAAAGUGGAGACAUGUCCAGUUGGAAAUUUUAAAUGUGCAAGCGGUACGGUAGAACAAUCCAUUGGGUUCGCUAAGGUGUCUAUCACAACUAAAGGGUGCCUAGAUAAAUGUGAAACAGGGACUGGACAGCUACCAACCAGAGAAACAGUGACUUAUAGCUGCUGUGACACUGAUCUUUGCAAUGCAGCAGACGGAGUGUAUAAGGGAAGCUUCCUCCUGCUCUUGUCUCCUCUGCUCUUCUACCUCCUGUUUCAGUGAAUCCAGAUGAACUUCAGAUUCUACAGCAAAGACCAGCAGAAACUCAAUAUGAUACACUAUCUGAUACUGAAUAAAGCUUGUUUGCUGCUCUGCUCUUCUUUGGUUUAAGGAACUGAAAAUAUGUACUUUUAACAUUAAACAAAUUACUGCAUCAAAACUAACACAUGUAUGAAUUUUCUUUGCAUAAAGGAAAAGUUAUUAUAGAAUGUAAUAAAUAAUUAAAGAAAAACAUUGCCGUUUUAAAAAGUGUGAAAAACGUCUGUAAUAAAAUAUUUACAUAUGUGUAUUAAACAUUU